rnacentral:rRNA from 1 species
GAUGAACGCUGGCGGCGUGCCUAAUACAUGCAAGUCGAGCGAACAGACGAGGAGCUUGCUCCUCUGACGUUAGCGGCGGACGGGUGAGUAACACGUGGAUAACCUACCUAUAAGACUGGGAUAACUUCGGGAAACCGGAGCUAAUACCGGAUAAUAUAUUGAACCGCAUGGUUCAAUAGUGAAAGACGGUUUUGCUGUCACUUAUAGAUGGAUCCGCGCUGCAUUAGCUAGUUGGUAAGGUAACGGCUUACCAAGGCAAAGAUGCGUAGCCGACCUGAGAGGGUGAUCGGCCACACUGGAACUGAGACACGGUCCCGACUCCUACGGGAGGCAGCAGUAGGGAAUCUUCCGCAAUGGGCGAAAGCUUGACGGAGCAACGCCGCGUGAGUGAUGAAGGUCUUCGGAUCGUAAAACUCUGUUAUUAGGGAAGAACAAAUGUGUAAGUAACUAUGCACGUCUUGACGGUACCUAAUCAGAAAGCCACGGCUAACUACGUG